UUAGGUGAGGCAGAUCGUGACGUAGAACAACAUGCUGCGAUAUUUGGGAUGAUAAAUCUAGCGUCAUGACAUCUGCGGACAGUGUCAAAAAUAUACAUGUAACCUGGAAUGCGGCUGCAAACCCCACAUCUCAAAAAUACAUCUCCUGGAAGGCAUACCCUUCGUGUGCCCAAUAUGUCG